rnacentral:rRNA from 1 species
AGUGAACGCUGGCGGUAGGCCUAACACACGCAAGUCGAACGGCAGCACAGAGGAGCUUGCUCCUUGGGUGGCGAGUGGCGGACGGGUGAGGAAUACAUCGGAAUCUACUCUGUCGUGGGGGAUAACGUAGGGAGACUUACGCUAAUACCGCAUACGACCUACGGGUGAAAGCAGGGGACCUUCGGGCCUUGCGCGAUUGAAUGAGCCGAUGUCGGAUUAGCUAGUUGGCGGGGUAAAGGCCCACCAAGGCGACGAUCCGUAGCUGGUCUGGGAGGAUGAGCAGCCACACUGGAACUGAGACACGGUCCAGACUCCUACGGGAGGCAGCAGUGGGGAAUAUUGGACAAUGGGCGCAAGCCUGAUCCAGCCAUACCGCGUGGGUGAAGAAGGCCUUCGGGUUGUAAAGCCCUUUUGUUGGGAAAGAAAUCCAGCUGGCUAAUACCCGGUUGGGAUGACGGUACCCAAAGAAUAAGCACCGGCUAACUUCGUGCCAGCAGCCGCCGUAA